rnacentral:rRNA from 1 species
GAUGAACGCUAGCUACAGGCUUAACACAUGCAAGUCGGGGGCAGCAUGAACUUAGCUUGCUAAGUUUGAUGGCGACCGGCGCACGGGUGAGUAACACGUAUCCAACCUGCCGAUGACUCGGGGAUAGCCUUUCGAAAGAAAGAUUAAUACCCGAUGGCAUAGUUCUUCCGCAUGGUAGAACUAUUAAAGAAUUUCGGUCAUCGAUGGGGAUGCGUUCCAUUAGGUUGUUGGCGGGUAACGGCCCACCAAGCCUUCGAUGGAUAGGGGUUCUGAGAGGAAGGUCCCCCACAUUGGAACUGAGACACGGUCCAAACUCCUACGGGAGGCAGCAGUGAGGAAUAUUGGUCAAUGGACGAGAGUCUGAACCAGCCAAGUAGCGUGCAGGAUGACGGCCCUAUGGGUUGUAAACUGCUUUUAUAAGGGAAUAAAGUGAGUCUCGUGAGACUUUUUGCAUGUACCUUAUGAAUAAGGACCGGCUAAUUCCGUG